CCCUUAGAUGUUCUGGGCCGCACGCGCGCUACACUGAUACAUGCAACGAGUUUAUAACCUUGAUCUGACGGUCUGGGUAAUCUUCAAACUGUAUCGUGUUAGGGAUCGAUUCUUGCAAUUUUUAAUCGUAAACGAGGAAUUCCUAGUAAACGCAAGUCAUCAGCUUGCAUUGAUUACGUCCCUGCCCUUUGUACACACCGCCCGUCGACUCUACCGAUUGAAUGGUUCGGUGAAAACUUUGGACUGUGGCAUUGUCCUUCAUUGGACUUCGCCGUAGGAAAUUGUUUAAACCUCNUNAUUUAGNGGAAGAAUAANUCGUANCA
rnacentral:rRNA from 1 species